rnacentral:ribozyme from 1 species
GUUCAUCAUCGAAAAAGCCUUUACGUGGCGAUGAACAUAAGUAGCUAAGAGCGAAACUAAUUUUUC